rnacentral:rRNA from 1 species
UACGUAGGGUGCAAGCGUUAAUCGGAAUUACUGGGCGUAAAGCGUGCGCAGGCGGUUUUGUAAGUCAGAUGUGAAAUCCCCGGGCUUAACCUGGGAACUGCGUUUGAAACUACAAGGCUAGAGUGUGACAGAGGGGGGUGGAAUUCCACGUGUAGCAGUGAAAUGCGUAGAGAUGUGGAGGAACACCGAUGGCGAAGGCAAUCCCCUGGGCCUGCACUGACGCUCAUGCACGAAAGCGUGGGGAGCAAACAGG